UAGGAAGACAAAGAUGUCAAUUUGUCAGGUUGUUUGCCGCUAAUCAUGUAUUGGUUAGCUGAGAAGACAAAGAUGGGAGGAGCAAUCAAGAGAAAUGAAUUAGGGUCGCCAAAUUUCAUAAGAUGGUCACUCGUCGAGCUGCACAAAGAAAUGGAGAAACUAACCAACGAGCAGAUAGAGGAAAUGUUUGACCGAAAGCUGACAGA